GGCGACGUGGCCAAGUGGCAAGGCAAGGCUCUGCAAAAGCCUGAUCACCAGUUCGAAUCUGGUCGUCGCCUC
rnacentral:tRNA from 1 species